rnacentral:tRNA from 1 species
UGGGGUGUGCCUCAGUUGGUAGAGGGCCUGCCCAGCAAGCAUAAAGUGUUGGGUCCAAUUCCUAGCACCACAU